rnacentral:SRP_RNA from 1 species
GCCAGGCGCGAUGGCUCACGCCUGUCAUCCCAGCACUUUGGGAGGCUGAGAUGGGUGGAUCACCUGAGGUCAGGAGUUCAAGACCAGCCUGGCCAACAUGGUGAAACCCCAUCUCUA